rnacentral:rRNA from 1 species
CCUACGGGAGGCAGCAGUGAGGAAUAUUGGUCAAUGGGCGCGAGCCUGAACCAGCCAAGUAGCGUGAAGGAUGACCGCCCUACGGGUUGUAAACUUCUUUUAUAAAGGAAUAAAGUGAGGCACGUGUGCCUUUUUGUAUGUACUUUAUGAAUAAGGAUCGGCUAACUCCGUGCCAGCAGCCGCGGUAAUACGGAGGAUCCGAGCGUUUUCCGGAUUUAUUUGGUUUAAAGGGAGCGUAGAUGGGUUGAUAAGUCAGUUGUGAAAGUUUGCGGCUCAACCGUAAAAGUGCAAUUGAUACUGGCAGUCUUGAGUACAGUUGAGGUAGGCGGAAUUCGUGGUGUAGCGGUGAAAUGCUUAGAGAUCACGAAGAACUCCGAUUGCGAAGGCAGCUUACUAAACUGCCACUGACAUUGAUGCUCGAAAGUGUGGGUAUCAAACAGGAUUAGAUACCCGGGUAGAA